rnacentral:lncRNA from 1 species
GAAUACGCUCCGGAAGAAUCUGAUCCCCAGUGGGUUUCUUCCGAGUUUGUGGAUCCUUCGAGUGUUGUUGAGUUGCCGAACUUCCCUUCCGGUCAAGGCAAGCCCCGGACAUUAAACCCUAUCCUUGUAUUUUCAUAAAGUUAUUUAUAUCACUUGAGUUAAUAUGAUGCAUUAGGUGAAUAGGAGUUGAAUGAAUCCUAUUUGCUGCAUUAUCUACCUUGAUGAUUUCAAUAUUAACCUUGAUACUUGCUUUAUGAAAAUGCUUAGUAUGCUUAGCCCUGCUCAUUAGAUAAGUUUUCAAAUGAGAAAGUUUGAAGGGUUGUUGUGGAAUACUUUUAUGGUUAAUCAUGUUUAAACUUGCGACCGGUCGGUGGACUUGCUUUAAGAAUGGAGUCUUAAAGUAGUGUCUCCAACUGUGUCGAUUAAGGACCGUACCGUUGAUUGACCUGUUGUGAUUGAGACCUUUGAGUACAGCCCACAUGCGCUGGUAAGCCUUACCUAUAGCUAUUCCGAUACUUGAGAACGGCUAACCGCGUACUGGGAGUGGAGAGAUGGCGAGAGUAGCGUGUACCCACCUUACGGAUCUGAGAUGACCGGGAAACAUCUAGAUUGGCUGUAGGAUGGUGGUGUGCUGUACUCUCGGGUGACGCUGGACCCGUUCUUGUAUGGGAGGAUCUAUAGAAAAGGUUGACAUAUGCAAGAUUAAGUUCUACAUAUGUCGUGUGGUACUGAAUCCCCAGCUGGGUUUAAUCGAUUCGAAUCGCCGUGUUUCCUCGGAUAUGGAGCCUCAAUCCUCGUACCAUCAUCGUAGUAAUAAGUGAAUCUUUGGUUUAAGAAAGAGGUGGUAUGAUUAUGAAAGUUUGAUGAUAAUUUUGGUUAGUCAUAAAUGAUGACCUUGAGUUAAAACUUGAAAGUAGGUUUUACUCUUAGUAAGCUUUUAUGCAAAAAGAAAUGCUUUGAUCUUGUUAAAGCUUUACCUUGAAUCCCCAUAGCCUGCAUACCUGAGUCUUCACCUCUUUUAUAGUCGGUUAAGUCUUGUUGAGUACUUUUGUACUCAGGGUUUUAUUAACCCAUGUUGCAGGUGAACCUCUUGAUAAUCCUUUUGAUGGUCAUGGUUACUUUACUCUUGUGGAGGAGAGUAAUGAUGAUGAUGAAUCUGAUGAGUGACUUUGGGCAAGUAAAAUUUGUUGUGUGAUCUAUGGUUUAUGUAAUAUAAAGUUCCGAAGCUUUUAUGUAUCAAAUACUUAUGGUUUGUAAACUAUGAACUUAAGUUUCAAUCUAUGUUAUGUAACCUUUCCGCUUUUACUCUGAUUUCUCUUAUCUAUGAAAUGUUGUAAUACUGUGAUGCUUGAUGAGGGAAUUCCUGAAAAGAAUGUUACGUGGAUGAUUCGGGUUUCCCGAGGACACCCGACAGACUUCUUGAGUCAUUUGGAACUCGUGCACGUCGAUCAGAAGUCUUUGGGACAAUGAUGUGUGCAUGUGGGCCACUUAAUUCAGGAGGUUCUGCCACAGCUGGUAUCAGAGCAGGUUUCCCUUAGAAAGUAUAACAGUAUUUAUUUAAAAAUUUCAAAAGCUUUUGAGUCAAACCAAAUUUCAAAUUAGUUUGAGUCCAAAUUGCUUCUAAGCUCGUCUUAUGCUUCUAACUUGUCUCAAUUCAUUCUUUAGACUUAUCCUUCUCUCUAAAUGGAUAUGUUCUUAGUAUAAUUAUGGUGAUAUUUAUAUACAAGGAACGAUGCUUAUAAUAUUAUAAUAUUGCCCUAAUUAUGAAAAGAAAGUUUAUGCACUUUUAUGUUAAGUGACUAAAUUAAAGCUAAUUAAUUGUUUGAUGUAUGCUUUGUUCGUAAGUACGUUUCAUGCAUCAUUAUUGAAAACAUGUAAUAGACUUUCCUCCUUAAAGUUGUUAAUAAUUAGAGGUAAUAUGUUUAUCUAAUUGUAAAACUCUAUCCUUUAACCUUGGAACAUAUAUAGUUCUAAUAUUCAAAAUAAAAAUAUUUUGGCAGAUGGCUCGUACCCGCCUAACCGCUCGCAAGUCCACCGGAGGUCGUGUCCCAAGGCACCAGUUGGCAUCAAGGGAUCCGCCACCCUCCGACAGCAGCGACAGCAGCACUGACAACUCCAGCGAUGGAAACGGGAGUGACACCAGCGGAGGUCCUCCUUCGCCAAGGACCUACAGGCUUAUGAAGAAUGAUAUGCGCCUGAUGCUCACUGACAACAUCAACAUGGAAGUUCAGCUGUACCAUAUGGCGGGGUAUGUGGUCAAUCUUGAGGCCUAUACCAACAUCCUCCAUGAGGAAGUGCACCAGCUGCAGGAUGCCCUCAAUCCACCUGAGGCUCCUGAAGCAGCAGAGGAAGGACCAGUUGUCAUCCAAGUGGAUAGUGAUACUUCUGAGGAUGAAGCAGAAGAACCAGGAACCCCCACUCCAGAUGAGGAUGUUACCACCAGUGAGUCGGAUAUGGAUGACGACUAGGUGUUGAGAAGGCAAGAAGUAUGACCUAGUGUGAUCUUCUGACUUUGUAACUUAGUUAGUCAGAAAACCUCUAGUAUGGGAAGUGUGUAAGAUAGUGGUUUCGGUAGUCCUGCCCAGGAGCGGACUUGUAUGAUAAAUAAGAUGAACUGUUUGUGCUAUGUAAGCCAUGAUGUAUGAUGUUUAAGUAAGUAUGUUAAUCGAAGUGUGAUGUGUUUUUAAACAGAUGUCUGCUAACAACCAUGGAGCUAGUUCUUCCCAGGGUGGGGAUGAUUUUCCUAAUGCACCACCAGUUCCACCCUCUUUGGCUGAUGCAAUUGCAGCAUUGGUCAAUGCAACAACUUUGUUAGCACAGAAUCAGAAUGUUGGUCAGCGUGGCCGUGGUCGAAAUAACCGAGAAGAAACCACAUAUGUUGACUUCACAGAUACUCGUCCCCCAGUAUUCACAAAAGCUGAUGAACCUCUCGAAGCUGAGGAUUGGCUUCGCACUAUGGAGCAAAAGUUCAGUCUCAUCAACUGUACUGAAACCCAGAAGCCAGUUUUCGCCGCUCAGCAGCUGAGAGGAGCAGCAGGAGUUUGGUGGGAAAACUUACUGGCUGUUCAACCAGCCCGCCACCGAAUCACUUGGGGAGAAUUCAAGGAAGCCUUCAGGGCUCAUUACAUUCCCAAGGGAGUUAUGAAAAUGAAGCUCGAAGAGUUCUUAGCUCUCCGUCAGGGGGAUGAAACAGUCAUGCAGUAUAUUGGAAAGUUUAAUCAUCUGUCCCAAUAUGCAAUUGAGCAAGUCAACACUGAUGAAAAGAAGAAGGAAUGUUUCAUGAGAGGCUUGAAUACAAAGCUCCAGCUAAUGAUGGCAUCAUGUGGCAAUAUAUCUUAUCAUGAGGCAGUGAACAUUGCUAUCUCCAGUGAAGAAAAGAAUCGCAAACAUAAGGAGGCUAAGAAGAAGAGGGGUUUUGUCUCAGGGUCUGGAUCAUCUGGCGGCAACAAGAAGCGUCAGAGGCUUGUAUAUCAUCCAGCUCAGCAGUUCCGCCCAUCUUAUCGUCCUUCUUAUCAGCCGCCUCAGCAGCAGAAUAUGCAGAGGAAUUUUGCAAGGCCGACAAUGCCAUUCAAUGUUCAGCGUCAGCCGAAUGUUCCUGCCAUUCGUCCGCCAAUGCCACAAGCUGCAAACAACCCUUGUUACAAUUGUGGGAAGAGUGGACAUUUUUCUCGUGAAUGUCCAUAUCCAAGGCAAAAUGUCCCAAAUGUCAAUGCACCAAGACUAGUUGGAAAUCAGCAAGCAAAUCAAAACAAAGGUAAUGCCCAGAAUCAGCAGAAGGGUAAGGGUACUCAGAAAACAGGAAGGGUUUUUCAUACUCAAGUUGAAGCUAUACCUGAGGGAGAACCAGUGAUGCUUGGUAUGUUCCCUGUUGCCCAACACUCAGCGCUUACACUUUUUGAUUCUGGUGCAUCACAUACUUUCAUGAAUAGAGCAUUUGCGGAAAAGCAUAAUAUACCUAUUGGUGCAACCAAAGAUGAGUUCUUUAUACAGUCACCUGGGGGUCGACUAUGCACUAAGGAGAUGGUACAUCAGGUACCAAUAGACUUGGGUGGAUAUAUAUUUCCAACAUCCAUGAUAGUGUUAAAAGAUCCAAGUAUAGAUGUGAUCUUGGGUAUGAACUGGAUGAGUCAGAGAGGUGCAGUUAUAGACACCUUAAAUAGAACCAUCAAGGUCAACUUACCUAAUAGCAAGUCUCAACUUCUUAUCCAUCUUCCUACCCUUAAGAGAGCAGUUGAGCAAGUAUGUGCUAUCUCUGUCAAGGAAAUCAAGGACAUUCCAGUGGUCUGUGAGUUUCCUGAUGUGUUCCCAGAGGAUUUACCUGGUCUGCCACCUGAUCGUGAUGUGGAGUUUGAAAUAGAGCUCAAGCCAGGGACAGCACCAAUAUCCAGAAGAGCUUAUAGAAUGCCACCAAAAGAAUUAGCAGAACUAAAAACUCAGUUGCAAGAAUUGAUGGAUAAAGGUUUCAUUCGACCUAGUUCAUCACCAUGGGGUUGUCCGGCAAUCUUUGUGAAGAAAAAGGACAAUACCUUGAGGCUAUGUGUGGACUAUCGUCCUUUGAAUGAAGUAACAAUCAAGAAUAAGUAUCCUUUGCCCCGUAUUGAUCUUCUCUUUGAUCAACUAACUGGUGCUAAGGUAUUUUCGAAGAUAGACUUGAGAUCUGGGUAUCAUCAAAUUAAGAUCAAGCCAAAAGAUGUUCCGAAAACAGCAUUCACUACCCGAUAUGGUCUGUAUGAAUAUCUGGUCAUGUCUUUUGGUCUGACAAAUGCCCCAGCACAUUUUAUGUACUUGAUGAAUUCAGUGUUUAUGCCAGAGUUAGAUAAAUUCGUGGUGGUAUUCAUUGAUGACAUUCUCAUCUAUUCCAAAACUAAAGAAGAACAUGAAGAGCAUCUCAGGAUAGUGUUGACUCGCCUGAGAGAACAUCAGUUAUAUGCUAAGUUUAGCAAGUGUGAAUUCUGGAUAGAUGAAGUUCAAUUUUUGGGUCAUGUCCUGUCAGCUGAAGGUGUUGCAGUAGAUCCAAGCAAAGUUCAGGAAGUUCUUGACUGGAAGUCACCAACUUCAGUACAUCAAGUUCGGAGUUUCUUAGGAUUAGCGGGGUAUUAUCGCAGGUUUAUCCCUGACUUCUCCAAGAUCUCUAAACCAAUGACAACACUGCUGAAGAAUGAUACCAAGUUUGUGUGGUCAUUCGAGUGUGAAGAAGCUUUUCGGACUUUGAAAAAGUUGUUGACCACUGCACCCGUGCUAGCUCAACCUGAUAUUGAAAAAUCUUUUGAUGUGUAUUGUGAUGCUUCAGGCAAAGGCAUUGGGUGUGUACUAAUGCAAGAAGGCAGAGUCAUUGCAUAUGCUUCACGACAACUUAAGCGUCAUGAAGAGCAUUAUCCAACCCAUGAUCUAGAGUUGGCAGCUGUAGUCCAUGCUCUGAAGAUCUGGCGACUUUAUCUAUUGGGCAAUACUUGUCACAUAUAUACUGAUCAUAAGAGUUUGAAAUACAUCUUUACUCAGUCAGAGUUGAAUAUGCGCCAGAGAAGAUGGUUAGAACUGAUAAAAGAUUAUGAUAUUGAGGUACAUUAUCACCCAGGCAAAGCCAAUGUGGUGGCAGAUGCACUCAGUCGAAAGAGUCAUUGCAAUUGUCUGGAAGUCAAGCCUAUAGACCUUACCUUAUGUUAUGAAUUUGAAAAGUUAGGUCUUGAGAUGAUUCCACAAGGGAGUUUGACAAAUAUGACAGUUCAGUCAUCUAUCAAAGAUCAGAUUAUUACAGCCCAGCAAGAAAAUAAGGGUAUAAUCUUUUUGAAAAGAAAGGUUCAGUCUGAACCAAAUUCUAAGUUCAGAAUAGAUGAAGCUGGAGUGAUUUGGUUCAAGGAUCGUUUAGUAGUUCCAAAAGUCCCUGAACUCAGAAAACAAAUUCUUGAUGAAGCUCAUGCAACAAGACUUUCAAUCCAUCCAGGUAGUAAUAAGAUGUAUCAUGAUCUAAAACAAAGAUUCUGGUGGACUAAGAUGAAGCUUGAAAUUGCUAGUUAUGUGGCUAGAUGCGAUACUUGUCAAAAAGUGAAAGCAGUUCAUCUUAGGUCUGCUGGAGAAUUGCAACCGUUGCCAAUUCCAUCUUGGAAAUGGGAUGACAUUAGUAUGGACUUCAUAGUAGGUUUACCCAGAACAUCGAGAGGGUUUGAUUCCAUAUGGGUCAUUGUUGAUCGCCUAACCAAAUCGGCCCAUUUCAUUCCAGUAAGAAAGGAUUAUCGAGCUUCUGACUAUGCUAAGAUAUACUUUAACAGAAUUGUGAGUCUACAUGGUGUUCCAAAGACUAUUGUAUCUGAUAGAGGGACACAAUUUGUGAAUGCUUUCUGGAAGCAUCUGCAUAAGUCCUUGGGUACCAAACUUCUGCAUAGUACAGCUUAUCAUCCACAGACUGGAGGUCAGACUGAAAGAGUCAAUCAGAUCUUAGAAGAUAUGUUAAGAUCUUGUGUGCUCAGUUAUUCAGAGAAGUGGCACGAAUGUUUGCCUUUAGCAGAAUUCUCUUAUAAUAAUAGUUAUCAAGAGAGCAUUAAGAUGGCACCAUUGGAAGCUUUAUAUGGCAGAAGGUGCAGAACACCCUUGAAUUGGUCAGAACCUGGAGAACAUAGUCUCUUCGGGGUUGACUUAGUCAAAGAAACCGAAGAAAAAGUCAGGCUCAUUCGAGAGAACAUGAAGAUAGCACAGUCCAGGCAAAAGAGUUAUGCUGAUAAGAGACGUCGAUCUCUUACCUUUGAGGCUGGUGAUUAUGUAUACCUCAAAGUGUCACCUAUGAAAGGAGUAACUCGUUUUGGAGUAAAAGGAAAGUUGGCACCUCGAUAUAUAGGUCCAUAUCAAAUCCUUGAAAGAUGUGGAAAGGUGGCAUAUCGUCUAGAUUUACCACCACAGUUGUUAUCAGUACACAAUGUGUUCCAUGUCUCUCAAUUAAAGAAAUGUCUUCGAGUGCCUGAUCAUAUCAUUCAUGUUGAAGAAAUUGAGUUAAAGCCUGAUCUAACAUAUUCAGAGUAUCCUAUCAAGAUUUUGGAUCAAAAAGAUCGAGUCACUCGUAGAAGAACUAUCAAAUACUACAAGGUGCAAUGGAAUCAACAUACUGAAGAUGAAGCCACGUGGGAAUCCGAAGAGUUUCUCUUAGAAAGUUUUCCUGAGUUCCUUUCUUCUAUGCUAUCCUUGUAAUCUGUAGUGUUAUGAUCUACCCCUGUUUUUGUAAAAGUUGGUUUUGGAAGUGCUUGAUAAACUUCCUUUUCCAUUAGUUAGCCUUCAAGUUAAAUCUCGGGACGAGAUUUCUUUAAGGGGGAAAGAGCUGUAACACUCUCGUGUUAAGCGAACUAAAACAUGACAUGUCAUCAUGAGCAUUGCAUAGUUUAUUGUUAAGUAAACCCUGAUGCAUUAACUUAAAAUAAGUUUAACUUUGGUUGAAUGUGCUUAAGAAUUUAAAGUGUGUUUAAUUUAUGUAUGGAUGUUUAUUUUGGAGUUUAAAAACCUUGGGUGAAACUUAGGGGGGGAACCCUAGUUUUCAAAACCCUAGAUUUGUCCCCUUUUGUGCAAUUCAAAAACCAAGCAAAAUUUGAAGUUGAGUUCAAAAGCAAAGUUGUAGAUCUUGUCAAGAUGUACAACUUUGGUGUUUUGAGUUUUUGAAGAUUCAGUACAAAAUCCAAAGUAAUUUUAAAAAUACAGAUUUCCGGAAAGUGUCCCCUUUUCAAACUUAAAUCCCCAAUUCAAAAUCUGUUUGGAAUUUUGCAAAAUGGUCAACAUGAAAGUUGUAGGGCUUGAAAAGUUGAACAACUUUCAUGUUGGGAGUUUUUCAAGUUGUUAUACGAAAUCAAAAGUAAUUUUGGGAAUUCUGUUUUGCCCCAAUUCAAAAAUUUGGAAUUUCUUUGAUUUGAGUUUGAAUUUCAAAAUUGUUUGGGUAAAUUCACUAGUUUCCACUCAGAUUUGGCUCUGGCCACCAAAAGAUGUUUUGUAGCUCACAAAAUUUUGUACAACUUUUAUUUUGAUGAAAUUUUGACUUCUAUUCAAAGUUUGGUUGCAUUUCACAAAAAGACAGAGAGUACUUUGGGAAAAAGGGGGGGAUAAGCUUUGGCUCCUGUUCAUGGCGGUGGUCAGCCGAGAGUUGAUCGGUGAAUGCCAGCGCAUGGCCACCGUUUUACCCCGUCCACGCGCGUGUUCACGUCCGUGACGAUGUGGAGCACCUGCUGGCAACCAGGAGCACGACGUGCCCUUCUAUACUGCGAGCACCGACCUCUUUUCUGCCACCGGAGCACCAAGGAGCAGCACCUCGUCCCCAUCCAAAUUGGCCGUGCUCGAUCCUCCUCGCAUCAAAUUGAGCUGUCCACUAUGUCCGCCACCUCCUUGCGAACCCAGAGCACCACCAAGCUCACUCCAUAACCCUCUCAAUCGCCGGGACGUCACCAUCUUCUCCAUCUCCGGCCGAAACGCCGCCGCGAGCACCUCACCGUGGCCAGCAUCACCCCGAGCUUCUCCGACGCUGCUUCUUGUUCCUUUGGGAUCGCGGUGAGCCACUGAUGCUCUUGCGCUGCUCAAUUCGCGCUCUACUCAAGCGUAGUGGCCGGCAUUGGCUCGGCCGGGGUGGCCGUCCGCCGCGUCCAUGGCCGUGGCAGCUAGGGUAGGGGAGAGCGGGUGUAAAGGAGGUCUACGGGUGCGCAAGGAUCUGGGGAAGCUAGCGCGCCUCGCUGCGGAAGCCGGGAGCUCACCGGUGUUGCGGUGGAGGUCGCCGGAGCGGUGGCGCGAGGUAGAAGGCGAAGCUGACGGGCGGGACCCGCCCAUCAGUGUCUGCGUGAGGUGAGGGGCAGCGCGCGGUCCGCGCGGGGGAGCUCUCCCGAGCUGGUUUGGGCCAAACGCGUGGGCCGAGCUCCUGGGCCGCAGUGGCACAGUGCUGUCUUGUUUUUCUUUUUCUUUUAUGCAGUUUUUGUUUUAUAUUUGAAAUUGUGUAGUAAAUUUUGUGCUGAUCCAAAAAUUAUGAAAAUUUUUGUGUGGGUUCCAGAGAAUGUAAAGAGUGUAGGAAAAAUAUUAAAUUUUAUUUUAUGUUAGUUUGCAUGUAUCUAUAAAUUGCCUCUGUUUAUUAAUGAAUAAACCUUCCAUGAUUUUUAGUAAAUUAUGGGUAUAUCCAAAAAUUAUGAAAUUUAAUAUGUGAUCUUAUGUUACUGUUAUCUAGCUUCAAGAAUAAUUUCAGCUCUGUUUGAUAAAGUAUGCUCUGUCUCUUAAUAAAGCUAUUUAAAAUAAUUAUAAAAGAAAUAGAAAUAAUUAUUCCUUUAGGCUUUGUGUGAUAUUUUAGAUUGAUUGGCAACCAAUGGUUACUUAGCAUGAUAUGCUCCCUGGUUAUGAUUUAUUUUAUAUAUAUGAUCUUUAUUGUUUGAUAGAUACCCAAUAUUGCUUAAUGAAAAUAAUAAAACUUGUUUAGAAAUAAUCUAUGUUUUUGGGUAGCUAAGUUAGUUGUUUCUAUACCGUGAAGGUAAAUUGUACUCGAGAUAGUUAUGUUUAUUGUUGUCAUCCAAGAACAUGUAACCUGUCUUUACCAUGCCAUGAGUAUAUCAUAAUCAUGCAUAUGCACUUUUACGUAUAGAAUACGCUCCGGAAGAAUCUGAUCCCCAGUGGGUUUCUUCCGAGUUUGUGGAUCCUUCGAGUGUUGUUGAGUUGCCGAACUUCCCUUCCGGUCAAGGCAAGCCCCGGACAUUAAACCCUAUC